GGGAGACGAAGGGAGCACCUGCACCUGCCUGCCAGCAUGGCUGACACGCCCGGUGCCUUCCUGUUAUCAUGGGUGCCACCCAGACUUUAGCCAGGAACCAAGAUGUCGCCGCCCUGGUGGCCAGGACUGUAGGGCUGCAGCUGUCUGUGUGGUCUUCACAAGGCUCAUUUCCCAAGAAUUGUUGCUUGUGGAGUAAGAAAAUAGAGGGUUGGAAAGUGGCCCCAAGAAGAUAUGUCCAAGUGCCACCACCUAGCCCUAAUGAAGUCCCAACACCUAACUCGAGGGGCCUUCUUUGGAAAGACGUUUUGCAGGUGUAAUUAAA
rnacentral:lncRNA from 1 species